rnacentral:pre_miRNA from 1 species
CUUUCUAUGCAGGUUGGGAUCAGUUGCAAUGCUUUGUUUGUCUACAGUAUUGCGCUUGUUCCGGCCUGUUGAGGUUGC